AAAUUGAAGAGUUUGAUCAUGGCUCAGAUUGAACGCUGGCGGCAGGCCUAACACAUGCAAGUCGAACGGUAACAGGAAGCAGCUUGCUGCUUCGCUGACGAGUGGCGGACGGGUGAGUAAUGUCUGGGAAACUGCCUGAUGGAGGGGGAUAACUACUGGAAACGGUGGCUAAUACCGCAUAACGUCGCAAGACCAAAGAGGGGGACCUUCGGGCCUCUUGCCAUCAGAUGUGCCCAGAUGGGAUUAGCUAGUUGGUGAGGUAACGGCUCACCAAGUCGACGAUCCCUAGCUGGUCUGAGAGGAUGACCAGCCACACUGGAACUGAGACACGGUCCAGACUCCUACGGGAGGCAGCAGUGGGGAAUAUUGCACAAUGGGCGCAAGCCUGAUGCAGCCAUGCCGCGUGUAUGAAGAAGGCCUUCGGGUUGUAAAGUACUUUCAGCGGGGAGGAAGGUGUUGUGGUUAAUAACCACAGCAAUUGACGUUACCCGCAGAAGAAGCACCGGCUAACUCCGUGCCAGCAGCCGCGGUAAUACGGAGGGUGCAAGCGUUAAUCGGAAUUACUGGGCGUAAAGCGCACGCAGGCGGUCUGUCAAGUCGGAUGUGAAAUCCCCGGGCUCAA
rnacentral:rRNA from 1 species